CCCGCUGCCGCUCGUGGAUGGUGACCUCGCGGAGGGACCCCACCAGGCCGGCCGCCCCGUCGGAGGAGCACAGCUCGGAGGCGGGCUGCAGCCGCCGCAGCUGGAGGACAAUCAUCAAAGAACAAGAGAUGUAUGAAGCAUCCUGGUGGGAACUGGAAAGCUAGUGCAUUCUGAAAAGGAUGAUUUAUUUUGAAGAUACCGGCUUCAUAUGGGAAAUCGAAAGAGGGAGAAACAAUAGAAGCAUCAAAAACGUGUUUGAAAUCAUGGUUCAACAUGUGGUUUGGGGGAAUCCUUGGUUCAAGUCAUGACAAUAAGCAUUAUCAUUUUCUAAGAAAUGGGAAGCAAAUGGCUGGGGAAAGCUGGACUUUGGAGAAGUAAGAACUCACUGAGGUGUAGAGUACUUAUUGCAGUUUCUGUCAGGAAGACAACUGAAAGAAAUGGUAGCCUGGAUCUACAGAGCCAGGGACCAAAUUUCCAUAUGAAGACAAAUGGAAGUAUUUACACAAAUAAGAUGGUGAAAUGCAAACAACAAUUUUGUGGGCAAGAAAAAGUGUCCAGGGCUCAAGAGUAAGGAAGUUCUAGCUACUGUCCAGCCUUGGGAGACAGCUUUCUGCUUUUGCAAAAUAAUCUACAGACCAUGAGAAUUGCCCUAGGAAGAAACAGCUGAACCAAGGGACAGAAUGUGCCAAGUGAAAGACAAAGUGUACAGUGUGCCCAAAGAAAAACUCACAAGAAAAAAGGUAUUUUAGUAGCACCACAAAAGGCUCACUUUUCUCUGCAAAUUGUUUGAGGGCUGUAUCCGAUGGCUGGGAUGUAACAUUUAACUCAAACAGGACAUCUGCCUUGAUCUGAAAACAGAGUUUGAUAUUUAAAAAAUCAGGAGAGCUUGCAAAUAGGAAGAAAAAUGUGCAUGAAGAGAAAGCAAAAAUAUAGGAAACGAGAUUUAACAAAAUGAAAGUACAGAAAUAGCAAUGGGGGGGGGGGGGGGGGGGAGAAACCUCAGCAGAUAACAUUCUGUAGCCCAAUUCCUGAGUGUCAUUUCUGCUAAACAAGCUAAUUUCCUAUAUAUUACAUUGACUCCCUAGUCUUCAAAUAGUCUUGCAAAGAAACAAUGUCACUGCUCUGAA